GUCCGUCAUGGCCCUUACGUCCGGGGCGUAGCACGACGUACGUACAAUGGGCGGUACAGAGCGCAGCAAGCUCGUGAGAGUAAGCGAAUCGCAGAAAACCGUCCUCAGUUCAGAUUGCAGUCUGCAACUCGGCUGCAUGAAGGCGGAAUCGCUAGUAAUCGCGGAUCAGCAUGCCGCGGUGAAUACGUUCCCGGGCCUUGUACACACCGCCCGUCACACCAUGGGAGUGGAUUGCACCAGAAGUGGGUGAGCCAACCUUCGGGAGGCAGCCCCCUAAGGUGUGGUUCAUGACUGGGGUGAAGUCGUAACAAGGUAGCCGUAGGGGGAACCUGCGGCUGGAUCACCUCCUUUCUA
rnacentral:rRNA from 1 species